AGUGAACGCUGGCGGUAGGCCUAGCACAUGCAAGUCGAACGGCAGCACAGUAAGAGCUUGCUCUUACGGGUGGCGAGUGGCGGACGGGUGAGGAAUACGUCGGAAUCUACUUUUUCGUGGGGGAUAACGUAGGGAAACUUACGCUAAUACCGCAUACGACCUACGGGUUAAAGCAGGGGAUCUUCGGACCUUGCGCGAUUGAAUUAGCCGAUGUCGGAUUAGCUAGUUGGCGGGGUAAAGGCCCACCAAGGCGACGAUCCGUAGCUGGUCUGAGAGGAUGAUCAGCCACACUGGAACUGAGACACGGUCCAGACUCCUACGGGAGGCAGCAGUGGGGAAUAUUGGACAAUGGGCGAAAGCCUGAUCCAGCCAUACCGCGUGGGUGAAGAAGGCCUUCGGGUUGUAAAGCCCUUUUGUUGGGAAAGAAAAGCAGCAGGUUAAUACCCCGCUGUUCUGACGGUACCCAAAGAAUAAGCACCGGCUAACUUCGUG
rnacentral:rRNA from 1 species